CCUACGGGGCGCUGCAGUGAGGAAUAUUGGUCAAUGGUCGGGAGACUGAACCAGCCAAGCCGCGUGAGGGAGGAAGGUACAGAGUAUCGUAAACCUCUUUUGUCAGGGAACAAAGGCGGGGACGUGUCCCCGGAUGAGUGUACCUGAAGAAAAAGCAUCGGCUAACUCCGUGCCAGCAGCCGCGGUAAUACGGAGGAUGCGGGCGUUAUCCGGAUGUAGGGGGUUUAAAGGGUGCGCAGGCGGUCUGUUAAGUCAGAGGUCAAAGCCCGGGGCUCAACCCCGGCCCGCCGUUGAAACUGGCAGGCUCGAGUUGGAGAGAGGUAGGCGGAAUGCGCGGUGUAGCGGUGAAAUGCAUAGAUAUCGCGCAGAACUCCGAUUGCGAAGGCAGCAUGCCGGCUCCACACUGACGCUGAGGCACGAAAGCGUGGGUAUCGAACAGGAUUAGAUACCCUUGUAGUC
rnacentral:rRNA from 1 species